rnacentral:rRNA from 1 species
AUACGGAGGAUCCAAGCGUUAUCCGGAUUUAUUGGGUUUAAAGGGAGCGUAGGUGGGAUAUUAAGUCAGCUGUGAAAGUUUGGGGCUCAACCUUAAAAUUGCAGUUGAUACUGGUUUCCUUGAGUACGGUACAGGUGGGCGGAAUUCGUGGUGUAGCGGUGAAAUGCUUAGAUAUCACGAAGAACUCCGAUCGCGAAGGCAGCUCACCGGGCCGGAACUGACACUGAUACUCGAAAGUGCGGGUAUCAAACAGGAUUAGAUACCCUGGUAGUCCGCACAGUAAACGAUGAAUACUCGCUGUUUGCGAUACACUGUAAGCGGCCAAGCGAAAGCGUUAAGUAUUCCACCUGGGGAGUACGCCGGCAACGGUGAAACUCAAAUGAAUUGACGGGG